GGACGGCGCGCGUCGGAAACCGAGCAGGGCAUCCCCCGAGCGGGGGCCGUUCGGCGGCGCCUUGUCCGAGGUCGCAGACGCACUUGACUCUCACCCUGAGGACGCCGCAGCCGGUCGGGCACGAAGCAUGCGCGACGGCCUGAAGGCGGGGAAGCGGCAGGUGGCCGGUGGGCAGUCUAGGCUGUCUCCGCCGGUUGUUAGCCAUCCCCGCAGUGGCCCGUCGCCCGACCGUGGUAUCGCGAUGCCCCCCCAUGGGGCGUCGUCGCCUCCUCCACAACUGGAAGUCGGGAGAGGCGGUCGCAGGCGAAGUCCGCCGCGGAGUCGCACUCCUCCCGGAGUGGACCUGCGAUAAGAGGACGGCGCCGUUGGCGACCGCGGGCCCCUCGGAGGUCGGCGGCUGGCGGCGAGUAGGUCGGUCACCCACCCCACCCGUCUUGAAACACGGACCAAGGAGUCUAACAUGUGCGCGAGUCAAUGGGACUUGAACAGGCCCACAGGCGCAAUGAAAACAAAGCCGGGCCGCAGCGCCCGGCGAGUCGGGAUCCCCGGGGUGGAACCCGGGGCGCACCAACAACCCGUCCCGUCCUGUUCUCCGGUGGGGCGGAUUGUUAUCGUAC
rnacentral:rRNA from 1 species